ACGAAGAGGACUCCCCGACAACUACUGGGCGGGGAGAACUCAGAAAUAGCUAGCGGAACACCGCCCGCCCUAGGCCUUCGCGCGCUUACUUGAGCUAGCUCUAUUCAAUCGUGAAGACUAUCUCCGACAUUUCGGUUCUCGUGGCGCGAGCACAGGGCAGGGGCGUGGUCUAGAACCCCCUAGAGACCAAAGACUGAGGAAAGAGCGUGGCCCGUCUCACCAAAUCCCCCAAAUUGCAACGCCCCCUCCUUCCUGCUUUGAGGGACCGUCGCCUGGAGUGGACCUGGGGGAGGUUGGUAGUGGAGGAGUCCUGACUUCUCUCUCUAUUCAUGCAGCCCUCUGGCCCCCUCACAGGACGUCUACCGCACUGCCUCCUUUCUGGCCCGAACUUUUUCUCUCAUCACGUGCCUGGCCUGAGCCAGUCGGCUGCCCUGUAACACGAUCACCGCGGCCAGCCUCCCGACCCUCCCGAGUAAUUGCAGUCAGGCGGCAGCGCCGCGAUAGCAGCCGCCCAGCUAGGGGCUGAAAGGGAAGCGAAAGCAGGCUCAGGCUGAGACCUGGACCUUGGAGAAUCUGGAAGACAGCCCGCUGCAGAGGGCUCCUUGCACACGGUAAGUUCUUCAAAAAUGCUCCUGGAAGGAAUGGAUGAGCUUCUAAAGAUCACAGACGAUGCGUCAUUAGCUUUGCAAGCUCUUGACAAAGAAAAUGGUGAUGAUGAGAGCCUGGGAAAAGGCCGGGUUGAGACCCUGACUUGUAAGUGAAGUUCCUGUGGUAUGUACAGAAAAAAGAGUCCUGAGAAUAUUAAAACAAAUAAACCCCAAAUCCCCUCCCUUCCUUCCCAAACAGAAUGGUUAUCUCAACAAGUUCGAUCAAACUUUUCAUACUUCCCAACAAGCACUGAGGAGGGAAAUCCAUGGUGAUAGGAAGCUUCUACCUGUUUGCAAAUGGUUUGCAAGUCUUUCCAUCUCUGAGUAUUCCCCAGCUUGAGACAUUUCCUUUGACGUUUGGUUCCUUCUCAUUAAGACACAUGACAGGCUCAGCCCCAAAGGUUAGCUAGUGCCACAACCUUCCUCAUGCUUAAAUGUUUGAGCUUUUCAGAACUCCAGGCAGCAGGCCAUCUGCCAGACUGAAAAUGAUCCUGCCUUAUCCCAGAAUCCUAUCACUGUGUGUAGGGUGGCUUCUCUGCAUGGGCCCUUAUCCACUUUGAGGAUGUGGGCCAAACCCAAAUUACUAAGUAACAUCUGUUGUCCUAGGUGUGAGGCAGGGUCACUUACUAUUGGUUUGGGCUGAGACUUCCUGUUCUGAAAUGCUUGCUCAGCUGGCCUUCUGGGAUCCUCAGAUGACACAGAAUAUGACUACAGAUCACCCCCUGACACUCAAGUCAGCAAAGGAAUCUGGCUGCCAUCUGGAUCAGAACAGGAUUCAGUGCCCGUACUGCACUCUUCUCUUCCAUGGUUUUCAUAAGAAACCCAGUGAGGCAGAACUCCACACCUAUAAGCCACAACAGGCUCUCCUGUUGUCACUCUUGUGACAGAGGGAGCUGGAGGAGGGACAGGUGGCAAAGAAGCCUGCCGGGGAGUGCUGCUGCAGGAUGACUGAAAUCCAUUCCCACAGCUCCCAGUGGGGGUUGGGCUGACACCACACCAAACAUUCUGAAGCCUUUGCUUAGAUCAGAUGCUGUAUCCCUGACUGGGGUAUCAAAAUGUUCCAGUAUUUCUCCCAGAAACAGGCUUUUCUGCUAAGCUGAGUGCACCCCUCCUGCUGUAAUGUAAUUCACAGUGGAGAUGGUGAGCAGGCUUGUCUAUCACCUCCUUUUGCUAUCCUAACUCCUCAAACCCUUGAAAGCAAUUUUCUUCAGGCUAAGUAAUCUAUAAGAAAUGUGGCUUAAACACAGAGAAGACAAGUAGUGAUUUUACAGCAUCUUACUAUGUUGAUGGACAGUGACUAUAAACGGGGAUGUGGGGGGGACUU